UGUCAUUAGUUGCCAUCAUUAAGCUGGGCACUCUAAUGAGACUGCCGGUUACAAACCCGAGGAAGGUGGGGAUGACGUCAAGUCCUCAUGGCCCUUAUGACCAGGGCUUCACACGUCAUACAAUGGUCGGUACAGAGGGUAGCCAAGCCGCGAGGCGGAGCCAAUCUCACAAAACCGAUCGUAGUCCGGAUUGCACUCUGCAACUCGAGUGCAUGAAGUCGGAAUCGCUAGUAAUCGCAGGUCAGCAUACUGCGGUGAAUACGUUCCCGGGUCUUGUACACACCGCCCGUCACACCAUGGGAGUGGGGGAUACCAGAAGUAGGUAGGGUAACCGCAAGGAGCCCGCUUACCACGGUAUGCUUCAUGACUGGGGUGAAGUCGUAACAAGGUAACCA
rnacentral:rRNA from 1 species